rnacentral:rRNA from 1 species
CCUACGGGUGGCAGCAGUAGGGAAUCUUCCACAAUGGGCGAAAGCCUGAUGGAGCAACGCCGCGUGGGUGAAGAAGGUCUUCGGAUCGUAAAACCCUGUUGUUAGAUAAGAAAGUGCGUGAGAGUAACUGUUCACGUUUCGACGGUAUCUAACCAGAAAGCGACGGCUAACUACGUGCCAGCAGCCGCGGUAAUACGUAGGUGGAAAGCGUUAUCCGGAUUUAUUGGGCGUAAAGGGAACGAAGGCGGUCUUGUAAGUCUGAUGGGAAAGCCAUCGGAUUAACCGGAGGAGUGCAUUGGAAACUGGGAGACUUGAGUGCGGAAGAGGAGAGUGGAACUCCAUGUGUAGCGGUGAAAUGCGUAGAUAUAUGGAAGAACACCAGUGGCGAAAGCGGCUCUCUGGGCUGUAACUGACGCUGAGGUUCGAAAGCGUGGGUAGCAAACAGGAUUAGAUACCCUGGUAGUC